GACGAACGCUGGCGGCGUGCUUAACACAUGCAAGUCGAACGGAAAGGCCCUGCUUUUGUGGGGUGCUCGAGUGGCGAACGGGUGCGUAACACGUGAGUAACCUGCCCUUGACUUUGGGAUAACUUCAGGAAACUGGGGCUAAUACCGGAUAGGAUCUCCUGCUGCAUGGUGGGGGUUGGAAAGUUUCGGCGGUUGGGGAUGGACUCGCGGCUUAUCAGCUUGUUGGUGGGGUAGUGGCUUACCAAGGCUUUGACGGGUAGCCGGCCUGAGAGGGUGACCGGCCACAUUGGGACUGAGAGACGGCCCAGACUCCUACGGGAGGCAGCAGUGGGGAAUAUUGCACAAUGGGCGGAAGCCUGAUGCAGCAACGCCGCGUGCGGGAUGACGGCCUUCGGGUUGUAAACCGCUUUCGCCUGUGACGAAGCGUGAGUGACGGUAAUGGGUAAAGAAGCACCGGCUAACUACGUG
rnacentral:rRNA from 1 species